CCCAUUCACUAAUGAAUUGUUUUUACAUUGGUUCGUGAAUCAGAUACUGCUUCUCGGUUUAUUCAGAAGUCCUCUGAGAAAUCUAAUCCCGUCCGGAUGUGUCUGAGAUUCAUCCCGUAAUUGUUUGGUGAUCCGAUUCUCCGACCGCUCGCUCCACUUUCAUCAUGGAUAUAGAGGCCUUUCUGCCAUAUCGGACGAAACAAUAACAUGGAAUCAAUAAGAAGAUGCCGAUCACGAAAAAGCAGAGUUAGCUUCUGCGAGCGUGUAUGGCGUCUGGCUUCAGAACCUCACUGUGACUUCAGAUAAGAACAAAGAUUAAAUUGUAAGAAGGGUUGCUUAUAAAAGCGUACAUCUGAAACUGCUGAGACUGGUAAGGUUUGUGACUAUAUUUCCGACCAGGUACAUUGUUCUGUCAUUCUUAAAUAGAAAACAAAUCAUCAAUCAUCAUUUGCCUUUUUUGUGUGUGUGUGCGUGUGAGAAAUAUUAACAUUUGUUGUUUUUCAGAUCAGCUGCUAUAGAAGACAAACUUAAAUCUGAGUGCAGAGACAUGGAAAGGAAUAGUAAGUAUAUUUUAAUGUCGCAUCUCCUCUGUUAUAGAGAUUUUUGAAUCAGGCCUAAUAGAGGGGGAUUCGGUCAAUCUUGGAAGAAAAACGUUAGCAAUGGGUCCAUUCCAGGUAGCUAAUUUGUGCUUCUUUUCAGUCAUUCAUGUAAAAAUCUGUUAUCUAAUUUUGUUUCUGUUUUGUUUUUUUUCUAAAGCUGCAAGACACUACUGACUAGGCUGUGCCCAGGUCUCCGGAACCUGCGACGAUGCUCAGCUCCAUCAGCCCUCCGUCUGCGCCUUCGGAUCCACCAGCUCUGUCUCCAUCGGUCGGCCCCCAGAUGUCGGCAGCCACACCAUCUACAUCUUGGCUCCUCCCUCCCUCGACUCCGCCGUGUGUUGUCAGCACUGGGACGCUCUGGGUCUGUGCCAAACACCAUCUAAGCCACUAGGGCAUCAUCGUCAUCCUCCCAUCACCAUCCCUUCACCACAUCCUGCCAUCAUCCCCGCACUUUUGCCUCUCACCAUCCCUACAUCAUCUCCUCGUCCACCUCCAAAACCCCUCUAUCCCUCCCUAUUCUGUUGCUUGAACUUUAUCAUCUUCAGUCUUUGCACACACAUCUAUUCACUUUAUAUGUUUUUUUUCUUCAGAAAAUUGCAUUGUAAUUUUUAUUUAUUCACUGAUGUAAAAUUCUUUACUUUUCAGUAAUACAGGUAUAACUGAAAUGUUCUACAU